rnacentral:ncRNA from 1 species
CCUUAUCGAGAGAGGCAGAGGGACUGGCCCUGCGAAGCCCGGCAACCUUAUAUAAGUAAGGUGCUAAAUCCUGCGGAAUUUCCGAAAGAUAAGG